rnacentral:piRNA from 1 species
UGCCUAUGAAGGGCAGUUUGUGCGCUGCCGG